rnacentral:rRNA from 1 species
UACGAAGGGUGCAAGCGUUACUCGGAAUUACUGGGCGUAAAGCGUGCGUAGGCGGUUUGUUAAGUCCGUUGUGAAAGCCCCGGGCUCAACCUGGGAACCGCGCUUGAGACUGGCACGCUAGAGUUCGGGAGAGGAUGGUGGAAUUCCCAGUGUAGAGGUGAAAUUCGUAGAUAUUGGGAAGAACACCGAUGGCGAAGGCAGCCAUCUGGACCGACACUGACGCUGAGGCGCGAAAGCGUGGGGAGCAAACAGG